GUGUUGGAGAGGUGAAGGCCAGGGGAGUUUAUACCCUACUCUCCCUCCUAUAUAAACCCACUCCCACCGCUCCACUUUUCAUAGCAAAAACACACGACUCUCUGUGUGUUGUAAGUCUCUUAAAGUUGUCUUGUUAGGCUUUCAUCUUUAUUUUUGCACAAAUUAUCCUUUGAAUUUUAGUUAAAUUUGUUUCUGCUAUGCGCUGAGAGUCACAGGGUGUUUGAAGGGACUCUUUCCUUUCUGUGUUUCUGUUCUGUGCUCUGCGCUGAGAGUCACAGGCUGUUUGAAGGGAGUUACUCUGCAUUUUCAAGUGUUUGAUAGGUCUUGUGUGCAUUUUCAAGUGUUUGAUAGGACUGUGUAUACAUUGUGUGCAUUUUAAGAGUGUUUCGAAGAAGUGUUUUUACCUAUUGUCUACGUUUUCUGUUGAUUUUCCAUGUUGUGCAGGAAAUGGCCGGUGCUUUACGCGGUCGCGCUGGUUAUUUAGAUGUAGAUGUCGUUCUCCACAACCAAAUUGAUCAUGAAGCAUUGAAAACAUAUUUAUUUACAAAAUGUCCAUUCAAUUCAUCCAACUACAUGAUGGAAUUUUAGCUUCACUUUUGUACAUUUCUGUCGUUUUGGUAUUCUCUAAAUGAUUUCGUACAACACUUACGUUUCAGAAAAAUGUUAAGCUUAUAGAAGCUCUUAUAAAUUGAAUUGUGAAUCGUGAUAAUGUUUUGAACUUUUUUGUGUGGGGUGAGAAUUCUAAUUCAUUAUGGGUAAUGUUCACAUGUACUGAACCAAAUCUUUUAAUGGUCUUUCUUAAGACUGCAGAAAUCAGGUACAGCACCCCUACCUCUCUAAAAAGUGCAAUAGGUAUUUGAUGGAGGCCUGAUUUAUGAUUGUCUGUGUAUUUGUGUGGGGUGAGAAUGUCAUAGGGGUCCUUCUAAUUCAUUGUGGGUAAUGUGUAAUGUUAAGCUGAAAGCAUUACUUUACUUUACUUUACUUUUUGUUUUCUGCGGUUGCGUAUCUGUUCUGCGCUGUUCUUUAUAUUGUCAGUGUAUUUGUUCUGCGCAGGAAAUGGCAGGUGCUGAAAGCGGUCAAGCUUGUUAUGGAGCGGCAUGUUUGGUCAAAGCAUUUAAUCAUUACUUUCUGUUUUAUAUGCCAUGGCCGAUUUACGAUUAAAUGAAAAUUUUAUCAUCCCUUAGCUUGAUCUAUGGAAACUUGAUAUUAUGUUGGUGCUUCAUGUUGAAGCUCACAAAACUAUUAAAUUCUUGAUUGGAAAAAACCUCUACCUUGACUUGCCUAUAGAGAAGCUUGGAUUAUAUUGGUGCUUCAUGUUGAAGCUCAAAAAUCAUAUAAUUGUAGAUCAGGAAAAGUGGAUCCCAAAUCUUGAAGUGCUUCUAUGUAAACUUGGUAUUAUGUUGGUGCUUCUUAGAUUGAAGUGGCUCUAUUCAUAUCUUGCUGAGCUUAAAAGAACAUGUAAUUUUGAAGUGCUUCUAUGUAAACUUGGUAUUAUGUUGGUGCUUCUUAAAUUGAAGUGGCUCUAUAGAAAAUUCAUAUAUUGUUGGAGCUCAAAAGAACAUAUAUUGCUUGUUGAUGAAUGUGACCAGGAUUAUAAAUAUUCUU